rnacentral:rRNA from 1 species
AAAUUGAAGAGUUUGAUCAUGGCUCAGAUUGAACGCUGGCGGCAGGCCUAACACAUGCAAGUCGAACGGUAACAGGAAGCAGCUUGCUGCUUCGCUGACGAGUGGCGGACGGGUGAGUAAUGUCUGGGAAACUGCCUGAUGGAGGGGGAUAACUACUGGAAACGGUGGCUAAUACCGCAUAACGUCGCAAGACCAAAGAGGGGGACCUUCGGGCCUCUUGCCAUCAGAUGUGCCCAGAUGGGAUUAGCC